rnacentral:rRNA from 1 species
CCUACGGGAGGCUGCAGUAGGGAAUAUUGCUCAAUGGGGGAAACCCUGAAGCAGCCACGCCGCGUGGAGGAUGACGGUUUUCGGAUUGUAAACUCCUUUUUUUAGUGAAGAUACUGACGGUAUCUAACGAAUAAGCACCGGCUAACUCCGUGCCAGCAGCCGCGGUAAUACGGAGGGGGCACGCGUUACUCGGAAUCACUGGGCGUAAAGAGCGCGUAGGCGGGAUAGCAAGUCAGCAGUGAAAUCCUAUGGCUUAACCAUAGAACUGCAUUUGAAACUGUUAUUCGAGAGUAUGGGAGAGGUAGGUGGAAUUCGUGGUGUAGCGGUGAAAUGCGUAGAUAUCAAGAGGAACACUCAUGGCGAAGGCGACCGGCUAGAACGUAACUGACGCUGAGGCGUGAAAGCGUGGGGAGCAAACAGGAUUAGAUACCCCUGUAGUC